rnacentral:lncRNA from 1 species
UUUUUUUUUUUGUCUCUCCUAGAAUUUAAUCUAAUCUAAUCGAGGGGAGGAGGGGGAGGGGGACUCGAUGUGACUCUAUCGAACAUGACCAAUUAAGAUCGUCAUAAAUUGUAACAACUUUUUGGGUGAGAGACAAGGAUCGAACCCUUAAUCUCCCGCACCACCAAUACUUUUAAAGGCUUCUAUGCAAUUAUUUGAUUGUGUAUAUUUUACACAAUCUGGCAUACACUAAUAUUAUUAAUUUAAUAUAUGAAUAAAACUACAUUGAUAAACAUACACCAACAUCUAAAAAAAAACAGAAAAAUGAUAUUAACACUUCCAAAAAAGUUUCUAACACUCCAUCCUCCCUUUAAAACAUAUAGAGACGAUGUAUUGCAGGAAGAGCACAAAAAAGGGACGGGAUGGAGGAUAGAAUGCUCGGGACUCUCUUUUUUUUUUUUUUUUUUUUUUUUUUUAAAGUGCCAAUAAAAUCUCCCAAAAAGUAUCAAACCUCAAUUGUACAUUUGUACUUGCUCCAAUUCCCUUCAAAUUGUGUAGAAUGUUAUUGAUCCUAUCCUAUUGAAUUAAUGCAGCAGUCAUCGUAGACUUUGCGACUGACCUUGCAUCCUUCUUCAAUUACACCCACCAAAGAACACCAAUAACCAACCUAGAAAAAAAAAAAAAGAAGAAAAACACCACUAGCCACAAGCACGUGUUUAACGCUGUACUUCUAUUUAGCAAGAAGAAAAAUAAAAACGUCAGUGACACGGGGUCGCCAAUUGCUUCAGUAUAAGAGUAGGAGCUUCCCUCAGCUUCUUCGCUACAACAAUCCCCCUAAAGAAAACUAGCCAAUGGCAUCUCUUUCAACUCCCCUUCAAAGCUCCACUGCCUACUCCUCCUCCUCUACUCUGUCCUCCUGCCCUUUCUCUACGAAGCCAUCACAGUUUUACCUCAGUGCCAAACGUAACUAUCACCAGUUCACGGUUUCAUGCAAAAACAAUGAAAGCCAUGAACAAGUUAACAAUCUUGAUAGGAGGGAUGUGCUUUUGGGCUUGGGUGGCCUUUAUGGCGCCUCAAACCUCAUCAUCAACCCUUUUGCCAUGGCAGCUCCUAUAGCUGCCCCAGAAAUCGCCAAAUGCGGUCCACCGGCGGACUUACCUUCAGGAGCAGUUGUCACUGACAAUUGCUGUCCGCCGGUGCCCGGCAAAGUCAUUGACUACAAACUCCCUCCACCACCUAAGGUGAACCGUUUUAGGCCAGCUGCUCAUUUGGUCAAGAAAGACUACAUUGAAAAACUUAACAAGGCGGUCGAGCUCAUGAAAGCUCUGCCAGCUGAUGAUCCCCGUAAUUUUACCCAACAAGCAAAUGUUCAUUGCGCUUAUUGCAACGGUGCCUACAUCCAAUCAGGCUCUGAUCAAGAAAUUCAAGUCCAUAACUCGUGGCUAUUCUUUCCUUUUCAUAGAUGGUAUUUGUACUUCUAUGAAAGAAUCUUGGGAAAGCUAAUAGGCGAUCCCAGUUUUGGACUGCCCUUUUGGAACUGGGACAACAUUGGUGGUAUGACCCUACCGUCCAUAUUUCAGGACCAAUCGUCAGCACUGUAUAACCAAAAUCGUAACCAAAGUCAUCUGCCACCAACAGUCGUGGACUUGGGGUAUAAUGGUACGGAUACAGAUGCAACAGACAUAGAAAGGAUAAAAAACAAUUUGGCAAUCAUGUACCGUCAAAUGGUCACUAAUUCCACCACUGCCAAAGAUUUCUUUGGAAAGGAAUACCGGGCCGGCGAUGCGCCCAGCCCGGGUGCAGGGUCCAUCGAGGCCAUUCCCCAUAUCCCAAUCCACAGGUGGGUCGGCGAUCCAAGGCAGCCAAAUGGUGAAGAUAUGGGUAAUUUCUACUCAGCUGGAAGAGAUAUUGUGUUCUAUAGCCAUCAUGCAAAUGUGGACCGGAUGUGGACAAUUUGGCAGCAAUUGGGAGGUAAAAGGAAGGAGGUCCCCGAUCCAGAUUGGCUGAAUUCUUCCUUCAUUUUCUACGAUGAAAAUGCUCAGCCUGUCUGCGUGAAAGUUGGUGAUUGUUUUAGCAAUGAUAAAAUGGGAUAUAUUUACCAAAAGGUGGAUAUUCCUUGGGUCAAGAAUAAGCCCGUGGCCCGCGUGACAAAAUCUAGGGUGGCUUUCACUUCCGGGGCACCACAAGCUGAUAAGGUCUUCCCGGGACCCCUUAACAAGACCGUGAAAGUGUUGGUCAAGAGGCCCAAAUUAUCAAGAAGCAAGAAGCAAAAGGAGGAGGAGGAAGAGAGAUUGGUGGUGUCCGGGAUCGAGUUUUCCAUGGACAAGUAUGUUAAGUUUGAUGUUUUCAUUAAUGAUGAAGAUGAUAAUCCAAACGAUUUUGCUAAGUCCGAGUAUGUUGGGAGCUUUGCACAUUUGCCACACAAGGUUAAAGGUGACAUGAAAGUUAAGACUACUCAAACCUUUGAGUUGACUGAGAUUUUGGAGGACUUAGAUGUUGAAGAAGACGAUGCCCUGUUGGUGACUUUGGUGCCAAAGUCCAAAACUGCUCUUACCAUUGAUAGCAUCAAGAUUGAGGUUGCUGCUUGAUUCACCUGCUAGUACUUUUUUUUUUUUUUUUUUAAUCUCCUCCCUGGGAAAAAAUCUGGCAUUAGAUUUCAUCGAUUGCUUUGAUUUUGACCUAUGCAUGCAUGUUUCAGCACCAUGAAUAAAAUACUUCUGGUGUGCUUGUCACCAGUUAAUAAAAAUAUGUUUCAGCACCUAUCUGACAACGUCCCUUUUGGUUUUUCUUUUUGAAAAGUUUAAUUUACAUUAAAGUUUAAGAUCUUAUGACGCCAUCUAUCUAACUUUCUCCACUCAAAAAAAAAAGGAAAAAAAAAGAAAUAGAAAAAGACAAUUCUUCCUCAAUCAAAAUUAAAUUUUUCUGUGCGUAUCCAGAAGGAAAACAAAAAGUAAUCCUCAAGUACCACGUUUGGCAAAGCUUACAAGUGUUAGCUUCCGAUUCGCCAUUUCAAGUAGUCAGAUAGACUAUACAUUUAAUUUACCAAAAUAUAGGAGAGUAUUUUUUUUUUUUUUUUGAAAAAGAAUAUAGGAGAGGUUACAAAAAGUAAGGGAAUUCUACAAUAAUAAUGAUCCUUGCUUUUUGUGUGUUGAGGAAAGAGGUGAUUUCUUAAAUUUGUGCGAUCCCACUUUUCAUUUCAUAUACCACUUUUGAUUUCAUGUGCAACCUUAUUAAUUUGUGAAGACAGAACUUUAUAUUCUCCUACUUUCACAAUCAAUAGUUCAAUACAUAAGAAUAUCUGCAGCACAUGUGAAAGCUUGAUCAACAACAAAGGAAUUGAUUAGUUUCUAGCUCAAGUUGCCUAAUGAUUCAUAGGAAUGAAAGUUAAAAGGGCUUGACCCCGGCUCCUAUUUUUUAAUGUACAUUUACUUUAUAGGAAUAGGGUAAUAAUAUGCCAACCUACCCAAAGUUUCACGACCACGACAUGGAUCUCCCCUUGAAUUCUUGGAAGUGUAAUUUAGUGUUAAGUGUAUAAUAUGAGCUGUUAUACAUUUUUCUUAGAAUUCUAAGGGCGUUCUUGUUAUAGUGAGCAUCCACUUAAACACUAACAUCUUCCUUGUGUGCAACUGCUUCUUGUAAAACGAUCUAAGCAAGUGUCUUUAAAAUUCUUGGUCCGACUCUUAAGUCCUUGUUUUCUUCAUUUUUCCCUUAUAAUGCUUGAAAUUUUCUUUGAACAAUUAAAAGAAAAGUUGAAUAGGACAGAUAAAGAUUAAUAUAACUUUAUAUAAGUGAAUUCUCUAUUCUUGUAGAUUGAUUACCAUUCGAAAUAUUUGACAAACUUGGCUCUCUCACUCUGCAUUAAAUAGCUAUCGGUCAAAUUUACCAUAUAUUGCAGUCUUGUGGGACCAAGACCGACCAAUAAUUUGAUGCCAUCAAAAAUGCCUGUCGUCAUCAGAAUUUAAUAUGAUAGUAAAUGAGGAUUCUUGAAAAAGGGAAAAACGAGGGAAAAAAAACACACUAAUUAGUAAUUAUUAUGCUUAGCCUUGCAGUUGAAAUCUACAAUGAUAAAAAAAAAAAAAACUAAUUUUUGGUGUGAUGAUUAGCUGGUUUGUAUACUUGCAAAUUAAUUAUGGUGAACAGAAACCUAAUUUCUGUCCAAUGAAUUAUACAUUUGGAAUUUGUAGAAAAUUGAACUAUCUGUACAUCUGUCACUGCCACUAAAAUCAAUUGAAUGGUUGUAGUUUGGCCCUACAUUUGGAAAGAACAAAUAUGAAAAGGAAAUUACCAAAGGAAAAAAGAAUAAACCGACGAAAUUGGAAAAAGGCACAAAACCUCCCAUGUGAUAAAAAGUUCCUCUCUAUCCAAAUAAUAGAUAGGGGUAUUGGUUUUACUUUCUUGUAUUUGGACUUAGACAUAGUACUAGUGGUGGGGUCAUUCAACUCUAUUAAAAGAAAGACACAACACUACUGUGUUCGGCAUAUAACCAGAAGCUGUUGAUUUUCCUCUAUAAAUUUAUAAGGUCCAUCGGUCAUAACAAGAAGGCUAAAUAUAAUAAUAUUCACCAAGAAAUCAUGAUGGGCUUCUAUUAGUCAAUCGAGGGACAGGGCUGUUGAAGACCAAAGAUGCUCAUCACCGGGGAUUGAGAGACCGGAGAAGGAAGAAGUCCAUUUAUUCCAGACAUUGCAACAAACGUUAAGACUAAUUGGUUUUUCUGUCUUCUACCGGUCAUAUACAAACGUGAGGGACUAUUGUAGCUCUAGUUCUCGUGGGUGCUGGCAUGAUGAAGACUUUUCCCCUAUUUUGUGCAGACGAACGUUAGUUGUUUCGACGCUUGAAUAGAGGCGAGCAGGAAAAGUGAGAGUAUGCUAGAUUUCAUUUGAUACGAUAGAUAUUUUCUGUCCGGAAAAGGACCUGAUUUGAUGUUCAAAUGCAUCCAGCAUCCAUGAUGCUACGUUGCUUUGGAUUCGUUUUCACUUGUACGUAGCAGCGUUCCUUUACGUUCCCUUUGAUUUCUAAAGAACAAUCCAUCCAAUCGCUAACUACUCCUCCUCCCAAAUAUCAUCUCAACCUUCUAUUAAUUACUUCUAAUUAUCUAUUUGUAACAGCCAAACCUCUAUGCCAAACCAGAAAUUAUGUACAAUUCUUUCAUGAUUUUUUCCUUCUUCUUUUGCCUUCUGCAUUCGUAGAACCAAAGUAAUUCAUUGUAUCAUGUUCUUGACUCUGAGACUUGAACGUCUACAUCCUUAUAAUCACGUGUACAGACAACGAUACUCUGGUCCCGCAGCCAUUCUGGCCACCCACGAGCUCUUACGGAUAAAAUCCAUCCAACUAGUAAAGGAUAAGGCCAUUACUGAUUUUAGCCCCCUGGCGAUGCAAAUACAAAGACAAAAAACACGUACAACACCUGCAUUCCCGGAUGGAUUUCACUUUCGCGAGAUGCCAACGGCUGAAAAAGGACUAGCGAAGCUAUUCGGUCCAAUUUGCAUUUAAGAGGAGAAAAAGAAGGUGAAAAUUUCGACAAAUGCUUUGGGAUGAUAAAUAAAGAACAAGAUAAGAAGCCCCUCAAGGCUGAAGGCUAUGGACUGCAGAUCUUUUUCCACUUAAUAUUUGACUCGUUCCAUGCAUGGAUGAUGCACCUCUGGAAAUUUUCUAAACAAAGAAAAGAGUAGAGAAGUUACCUUCUUUGCAGUCUCUAAAGGACGAGCCCAUUCAUUGUUCCAAUUAUGUUCUUCAAUGAUUGCCCUACUCCCUUAGAAUUGAGAUUGGUCUGUCACAGCUUAUCAGGGGUCGUUAGUAUAAUGUAGCCAUUUGUAUGCCAUUUGGAUGUGUACUACACAAUCAGCAUGAGGCGCAAAGCAAAAUAUGUCUGUACUGUCAAAUCUGUACUACAUAAAUUUUAUUAGGUAGUAGUACACCACUUUCAUUCCCCCCCCCCCUCCAAAAAAAACCUUAUUUUAAUUUUUUUUUUUUUAAAAUUUUCAGUCACGUUAAGUGAAACUGUUUUAAGUUUUAACCAAGCUCUAACGGAUUUUAUUAGCACAUUUGGAUUGCUAUUUUUUGAGUUUUUUUUUAAAAAUAUAUUAUAACGAUAUGAUAUAUAAGAAGUUACAAAGUAAUCGAGAAAUGCAUUCACAGAAAACAUAAAAACUUUUUUUGAGACCAUCUGUAUCACGGGCCGGUUACGUGCAAUGGAAGACAUACUCUACAUUUUAUCGGUAGCCCAGUUCCAUCUCAUUGGGUCCUUCAUGUUUUUGGAGGUGGGGAGGAAAAAUACAGAACGCAGUUUAUUUGUGACAACUACCGUCUAGCUUCAUGAAGGAAAAAUUUAAAUCAAAUAAUCAGUUUUUAAAUAUGUUUUUUUGAGGUGAAAUUUUGAAGGAACAUUACCGCCCCAACCAAAAAUUUGUUUAUUCGGAGAUAAAUAAAAUUUGCUCUUCUCUUGACAUCUAAGGAAAAUCAAACGAAAAAUCAUUUACCAGCAGUGAUACAAGAAAUAUGACAUUUAUUUAUCUAUUUAUUUAUUUAAUAGAGAAAUAUGAAAUUAUUCAUCAAACAUUUGCAAAUCCAUGAAGAUGGGUACGGUCCAGAGAAGGCUAGCGAGACAUUUUAGAUUAUUUUAAAAUAGGUUGGGCAUUUUCUUUUUGCAUGUCAGCCCUUUUGUGAUGUAGGCUUUCUCUGAGAUCUCGGCCCAAAUAUUUAGUUCUUGGGAUUAAGGUAUACCUUGGGCUUGUUGGUUCACGGGGCCUAACACCAAAUUCCAGAUGGGCAUUACAAUAUUACAUGACACCAAAUGAGACAUUUGGGUGGGAUUGCAUCGCCAUUAGUUUUUUUUUUUUUUUUUGGGUUGAUGAGGAAUUCAAAGAAGAUUAAAUCGUUAUCAGAUGAAACAAAUGCCCGCUCAUCUGCUGGGAAAAUUUCCAAAUGAGAAUACGAACAAAUUAAUCUUGAGUACAAUAAAUAUGCUGUGCUCAUCUGAGCCAAGAAAAUUUGAGAAAGAUAAAUCCAUAUCUAGACUACAAAUGCUGUACUACUAGACAUCUUCUUGAUUUAAUUGCACAUAGAGUUUUAAUAACUAGCUGGUAUCUUGUACGUUGGUAAACAUCUACCUAAAGCGGGUUUGUUAGAAACAAAAAUAUUUCCUAACCUGUUCUUGUAUAUAUGUUGUUAAUAUACGUCUGGGUUGGCACGUACCAACGCUUCACUCUAAUGGUUGGAAGUGUCCGUAAACCCUAUCAUUUGUGCUUUCUGAUCAUUGAUACAUGGAAUGUUGAGAAUUGAAAAGUACAAUAAUGAAAUGAUCGUAUCCAAUGAUCAAGUACCAAUUCCUUGUCCAGAAUGGCAUGGAAAAACUUAUUUGAUACGAAUCCAACCGUGCUUGUAUUCCAACAACAGGAUCUAGACACGUGACUGCAAGGUUUGAUUGCACGAAACCCUAAACCUCCUUAGAAUCCCUUAGAUGAGAACUAAGACUAAUUCUUAAUCCUCAAGAAAAGAUUCAAGGAACUUAUGAUUUUGGUAGAAUGGUGCCACGAACAAUUUUGAUUCUUGUUUGAUAAGCCAAGAAGAAUACAUAGAACCAAUCUAAGAUAUUCAAAGGUUAACCGACGCUAAGAGAAUUACUGUUAAAACUGAAAUUUCUUUAUUGAUGAUUGAAUGAAUAAAACUCGGCCAACCCUUCUUUUUAUAGGGUUCAUGAACCGAAAUCCUAAGUAGCAAUGGAAAACGAUAUUAACUCCAACUAAUUCUAAACCUAACUUACUAAGGAAACUAUCAACCGAAUUUGGAAAGUGCUCUUACGCCCCAAAUGGACAAGGGCUGGUCAACUAAGGCCCACAUGGGCUGCCCAGCCUUAUUCUCAAGCCUAUACUAGACACUUAACUAGAUGAUGAGGCCCAUCAUGCAGUCCGCCCUCUCUCUAGUCAUCCGCGACUUCCUCAUGGAUUUGGAGUAGGCUCACCAUCGUGUGAUUGGACUCUUGAAUCCUUCUUAUGCGUGUAUGAACGAUUUGUAGAAAUGUUUGGAGGUUCUCUCGCAUCUUUCUUGCCCUUGCUAGAGUCAUCGGUCCAACGUUCAUUGAUGGUGCAUUUAGCGCCUCACUCGAGCCAUUUGAAUCAGCACCUUGGAGCCUUGGUGGUCCCUCGUAUCAUUCCCCUCCUCUUGAAAGCAAUUUGUUCGCAAAUUGAAACAUGAAUGAUGACAAAAGGAGUUACAUGCCGUUGAGUCAAUUUUGUUAUGAUUACCACAAGUUUCCUCCAAUGCAAAAACCACUUGCUAAAUUGGAAAGUAACCCUUGUUGAGCCUUGAAUCUUACGAACCAACUUCAAUGUAUGCUCAAUUUGAUCGCCUUUGGCCAUGAGGUAAGGAUCCUCAAAGUGAUGCGGCAUAGGUCCCAUGAAGUCGAAUUGCUCAAAUUUGAAUAAGCCUGCAAAGUAUGCAAACUGAUUUGGUGAAAUUGGACCUCACCACAACUCCUCCUUGGACCGAAGAAGGCUUUGGUAAGUCUCCCACCACAACUCCUCCUUAAAUGGUUCAACCUCAACCUUAGACUUGGAAGAAACUAAUGGGGUCUCUUUUCUCCUUGAAUAGGUUGGCUUUGUAGAGGUAGAUUGCUUAGAACUCCUCUUUUUUACAUCCCUAUUCUCUAUUCGAUCAAGUCGUUUGUGAAGAGGUUCAAAAGUUUCAUCCAAAAUCUACUUGAAUUCUUCCCUUAUUGCAUCUGCAAAAAGUUUAAAUUUGAAAGCUUGAGAGCUUGUUUCUCCCUCGUUAGCCAUGGUGAAGUGAAAACUGUGUAUUUAGCAGUGAAAGGAGAUAAUUUUACCUCACAUACUCCCUCAUGUGUAUGCACUCACACUCGUGUUUUCACACACUAAACUCUCUAAUUAUAAGCUCGCCAAAUAUUCUCAAAACUUUGAUUUCACCCUUGAAGAAGUUAGAUCAAUUCAAAAGUUGUUCAAUGGCCUACCAAGGAAAGAGUCACUUAGCACGUAAAUUGGGGAAUGUAUGUUUAGAGAGUCGAAGCUGAUUUUGGAAGCUCGAUUACUAAGAUGAAUAACUUAACUAAAACUUGACUCGGACUGAUCAACUAGGAGAAUAGACAAUUAGACUCAAUAAUAAAAAAAAAGGACUCAACCGACUCAAAUCAAGCAAGAAAGAUGGCUGUAGUUUUCGGAUCCUAAAAGGACUUACCCGACUUGCACUUGGCUAUUUUUUGAAGGUGUAAGACAAGGCUUCUUGGACCUUUUUGGGUAGGUGUUUCGGCUGAAUGUAGAGGUUUCCUACGUGGCACAAGGUUCCAAUUAGAAUUUGGUAAGCCAAGUGUAACUAGGAUUUGUUUAUAAACCCAAGUCAACUAGGUUUUCAAGUUUCAAUAGGUUUCCUUUAGUUGUAGAAUCGAUUCUGGUUUCCUCUUUGUUCUUGUUAAGUGGCUAAUUGUGCAUAUAAUUGGUACAUAUUAUCCCCUUUGUUUUGCUAAAAUAUGGCGUUAAUCGAUAUAUUUCACUCAUAUUUGAAUUUUGGUACUGUUUGUAGGAGUUGUUAGUGAGAAUGAAGUAAAAGGCGCGUUAAAAGUCGACUUUCCAGAAGACGUCUUGUAAAGCGUGCCCACGCCUUAUCAAACUCGAAGUGGUGCUUCUAAAGGUCCAUGUCCAAAAGAGCUUUCGUUAUAAAGCGUGCCCACGCCUUAUUUGGCAAAGCAGUCAAAAGUUCGCAAGACACAAGAUAAAUCUGUCAAUUGGUCAAGGAGCCGGUUGCAUCCCAUGGGCUGACACAUUAGCCACGGAUUGAAGACCUUGAGGGGCCAUGAUUCGAUGUAAUUAUUUUGGAAAUUCAAUUAAAAGGUCUUAGUUGGAUAGUUUAGGGGAACUAGGAGUCUUAAAAGGAAAGAGGAGCCUAUCCCCUAUUAAUAGGGGAGAAAACAGACGUGGGCUGGAAUUCAUCAUCUAUCUAAAACCCUUUUAUUCUCUCGUUGGUUUUAUCUUUGAAGGGAACGAGCCGUCAUCUUUAGAUUUCUCGAGAGGAAUGAAAUUACUAUGAAAACUUUGAAUGGCUUUGUUGUCAUGACUAUGCGGCAAGGCUAGAUCAUUUAUCUAGUUGAGGAAUAAAUCAAGGAUCGGGGUACCAUAACUGUGAGAUCGUUUUAAUUGUUCAUUUUUAAUUUGUAUGUUCAUGGGUAUUUGAUUAGUCUCUAUUUUUUCCUGAGUUAUUAUUGUUUAGAUUUUUUGGAUAAUUAGACCUGUUAUUCGAUUGUCUAAAUAAUUGAUAGCCAAUUAGGAUGUUGGCGCGUUGCCUUUAAGCAUCUUGAUUAGUGGCAAACGAGACAAUUUCACCGUCACGCAAGCGAUCUAAUUUGGAUCGUGGAAAUAAUUAAUCUAGCCUAAAUAAACCCGCAUUUGUGUUUGUUAUCUAGAAUUGGGUCUUUCUAAUUCCUAAUGCUGUGGCUACAUUAAAUCCUGUGAGCGUUUCUGGGGUUGUCUAAUCACAAGAGGGUAGUUUAUGAGCGUCUCUUGACUACCAUAAAAUUAAGGAAAGAUUGGUGGUUGGGCGCGUCGCUUGACCACUAUAACCAAUUUAUUCGUGAGUAUAUGAAUUGUCCCUUGUAUCUGUGAUCAGUUGUGUGCUUCGGUGCCAAGAUUAAUUCCUUGACUAGGUUGUUUUAGUUAAUUGUUAUUUGUGUAAUUUGGUUCCUGCUAUCUUACUCAACUUUGAAUUUCCGUUUUUACUCCUUUUUUAAUUAGUUGGUACUAUUGCUAAAAAUUCCCCCCCAUCUUCCUGUGUGAUUUGCCUAUCAGUUCCCUGAGGAGACGACCCUACUUGCCCUGUUUACAAAUUAAAUUUGAGAUUGUGUUGGUUGGCAAUUAGGCUGUUAUUUUUAACUUUAUUUUUGGAGGUUUGACACCCACCAGUUCUUUCUUGUGUUUCUUUUUUUUUUCUUCCUUUUGUAGUAUAGAACGUAACCAGAUUGCUUCUUUUCUUUCUUCCAAUUCGAACACAACUCAAAGCAAAAGCUCGGCUAUGUCUUGUGAGCAAGAGCAGCUGCUACUUCAAGAUUCAAGAACUAAAUUAAUUGAUUUCAAGAAAUUCAAGAAUCACCUACGAUUUUCAAGAUUUGCAUCCAAGAUCUUUUGGCAAUUCAAGAUUUGAAUCAAGACUUUCAAAAACAAGGUAAAACAGUCUUAUUGUAGUGCAAGACACAAAAAUUUUCCCACCCUAUUAUUCAAGAACCCUAAUCGCUUCAAAGAAAGUAGCGAUCAGAUUUGUUGUUGUAGUUUCAUUUUUUUUACGUCAACAAUUUUAAGACUCAAGAACAAAACAAUCAAGACGCAAAUAAGAACAACAAAACGAGAUAGAUUGGCAACUAAACUAAAAAAAAAAUUUUUACUAGUGAACACUGACUCCAGAUGAACAGUAGCGAUGAACAGUAACGAUGAACAGUAAUUUUUUUUUCUUUCAGAUUCACGAAUGACACAAAGAAAUACUAUGAACAAUAAGGAUAUAAUCUGAAAGUUGUCAACUAGCUCUGAUUACCGGAUGUGAUACACACUUGAACACGAUCUAGAUAAUAACAUUGACGGUUUGACACCGGAGAAUUUGAUCCAAUCUAAUUCUCAAAAUAGCGAACAAUAUUGAUACUAUCUCAACUCGUAACUUAACGAAUUAGCGAAUCAAAUUAUAGAUAGUAGAACGCCACAACCAAGGAGUUACUUGAUUGAUAAGUUCGGAAUGAAUAACUUGAGAAAGACUCUCAAUUAUUCAAAUGAGCUCUCUUGGAAAGAGAAAAGUGAAUAACUCACGAAAUUUUAUUGAUAAAAAAUUGAUUAUGAAGGUCCCUAACUUCGCCUAUAUAUAGCCAUACAAACUAGAAAGUCUAAAGUAAAUUGGAUUCACUUAAAUUAGAAAUCCUAAAGUGAAUUGAAUUCACUUAUUUACUAAACUAAUUAAUUCGGCUAACCAAGACAAAAUCUGGCCGAAUUUUAAUCUCUACUAAAUGACUCAAUUUGGCAAGGUAAAUGACAAACAAACCCUUGCUUAACACCACCAAAUAAAUGACACCACUUGGACUAAUUAGUUAACUAAAUUGAUUUGCUUGGACAAUCUUCAUGUUCUCAUCAUUCCCCUCCUCUUGAAAGUAAUUUUUCCACAAAUUGAAACACAGAUAGUGACAAGUAGGGGUGGCAAUUCGGGUCCAAAUCAAGUUGGCCGUGACCCGACCCGCCAACCCGUGACGGGUCAGGUAUACUGACUCAAACUCGAAAAUUUCAGGUUGACGGGUUGGCGGGUCGACCCGAAAUGACUCCAAACUUAAUUUUAAUUUAUUAAUUUAUCACUGUAAUUUCUAAUAAAAUUAAUUUCUCACAAAACUAAUUACAUAAUCAAGUAAUAAAAAUUUAAAUAAAUAAUUCCAAACCAAAUCUAAAAUAAAUUAAACACCGUAAAAGUGUGUUAUCCAAAACAAAAUAUAAAAUAAAUUAAAACAGUAUAAAAGUAAAAAAUAAUAUAAUAUAUUAUUUGUCCAAAUAUAAUAAUUUCAACUUCACACAAAUUAAAUAAAUUCAUUUAGGAUUAAGUAAUUAAUGCCUUUGAAAAAAAAGAAUAACUUAAUUUAGUUAGAUAAAAUUAUUUUUAUGUUUAUUAAAUUAUUUUUAAUUCGUAAACGGGUCAUAUCAGGUCACCACGGGUUGACUCGAAAUCGACAUGUUUUCUUUUCGGGUUCAUCGGGUUCAACACGAUUCUGACCCGAAUUCCCGAAACUUAAACCCAAAUCCAUUAAUUUUGUGUUAGAUUCGUGUCGUGUUUUCAAGUCGUGUCGAAAAUUGCCACCUCUAGUGACAAGAAAAGUUACAUGCCUUUAGUCAAUCUCGUUAGGAUGACUACAAAUGUCAUCCAAUGCAAAAAUCACUUGCUAAAUUGGAAAAUACUCCUUGUUGACCCUUGAAUCUCACGAAUCAGUUUCAAUGUAUGCUGAACUUGAUUGCUUCUGGUCAUGAGGUAAGGGUCCUCAAAAUGGUGUGAUAUGUAUCCCAUGAAAUCCAACUCAUGCUUGAAUACACUUGCAAGACUCCAAGGCAGCUUUAUUGGAGUUGGAUCUUCAUGUGGACUAAGGGCAAGAUGACAAUUGUAGUGGCAAUGAUCAUUAAGGAAUUCAUUCUUUGAACGAACCCUUGGUACAUAUCCAUCCCCAAAAUUUGGAAUGUUCCCUUCAAUAUGAGCUCGAAUUAACUCUCCAUUGGUGUGGACAGAUUUGAAUUGACAUUGUUCCAUGAAUUGAUGUCAAAGGGACUUAACUCUUGAAAGACAAACUCCAUGGAAACUUACAAGGUGUACAAUUGACUUUGGAAUGGAAUACACCAAGAUUACCUCAACUUGACUUUACUUGAUCUGUAUAAAAGAAGAAACACUAAACAAAACAAAGGUAAGUUCGUUAGGAAAAUAAUAGACCAUCAUAUUUUUGCUCAAAAUCAACUAACUUUCUCUCUUUUCUUUUUUUUUUACCACUCAUCUCAUCAGAUUUUUCCAUCUGCUUUUCUAGCUCAAUAGCUGACUUUUUCCUCUCAUUAUUCUCAACCUCUUUUUCCUUUUCAACUCCCUUGAAUUGUAUCUCAUCAGUCACAAUUCCCUCAUCUACCUUUUUCUUCAUACUAUAACACUUAUGCUCACUUUUCAUGUAUGUUAGAUCAAUACCAAGUUGGUCAUAAAUAAGUGAUACAAGUGCAGAAUGACGACCAUUAAAUAAGAAGGAAUACUUAUUAGUAUAUCCAUCAUAUUUAACUUCUCGCCUCAACAUCCAUGCUUUACCCAACAAUACAUGUGUCACUUGAAUUGGGACUACAUCACACAAUACCUCAUCCACAUACUUGCCAAUUUGAUUAGGUAUAAGUGUGUGCUUAGUAACCCAAACAUCACCAUGAGCACUCGACAACUUAUACGGUUGAAGAUGAUCAAUGGUUGAAAAAUUUAAUUUGUUAACCAUGAUAGCGCUUGCAAGAUUGACUUUGCAACUCCUAUCAAUGGCCAAGCUGCCGGUUUUAUCUUUGACAUCACAACGAGGAUAAAACCAACCAUGCAACUUAAAUUUUACAAUGUCCAACUGCUCAUCUAUACCACGUAAUGCCACUUCUUUAAUUCCCUUAGGAUCAGGAAGAAGAUGUUGUAAACUAGCUUUUAAAUGCCUCGUAUUCGCCAUGAUGUAUGAAAAAACCUAUAAAAAAAUUAGUGAAACAAAAGAUAUUUUUCUCACCACACAAUCUCACGUGUUUACACUCGUCACUUGUGUAUCACUCAAGUGUUUAAAACACUCUAAUACUCUCACUAAUCACUUCUCAAGUCACUUGACUGCUUCUCUUGAAGAAAUCAGAAUUUUUUUUCAAGAAAUUCAACCAAACUUCACUCAAGUUUUACCCAAAAUGUGGCGUAUAAUUGCUGAAAUUUUAGGGUUGAAUAGGGACUCAAAAAGGCAGCAAAACAUGAGCAAAACAUGCUGAAAUUUUCAAAUUUUAGUCCACAAAAAAGGUGUCCUAAGUGUUGGAAGUGUUUGACUUUGACAAGUACUCACUUUGGGAACUAACACCAAUUAAAUCCUAAACUGAUUUGGACUUGUUGUGGUAUAUUUAGACACGAAUUUAGACCUGAAAAAUACUAAAAAAUGAUGCUAUUCACUAUGGGACAGUUUGUAAACUACGACUCAACAAGGCAAAAAUUUGGCAGAAUUUUAGAAAACCUAGAUGAAACUCUACCCGAUUUGCACUAGGCUGGAUUUUUGGAAGUUGUAAGCAAGGUGUAAUGGGUUGUUUUUGGAUGGUUUAGUGGCUGAUUUUCUGGUUCUUCACGACUCCAAAGGUGACCAAUCAGAAUUUGGUAAUUUGAGUGCAACUAGGGUUUGUUUUGCAAACCCAAAUCAACUUGAUUUCCAAAUUCAAGUUGGUUUCCUUUUUGUUUUCUCCUUGUAAUUCGAUUUUGUUUCCUCUUUUUUUUUUUUCUUGCGUUUUCUUUCUUUCUUUCUUUCUUUUUGUAACGUAAUCAGCUUUUUUUUUCUUCAAUUCGGAUCACAACAAGAAACAAGAAUCUCGUUUGGAUAUUUGCACAAGAUCAGUCCAAUUCAAGAAACAAGAAUUAAAUUUUGAUUUGUUCUAGAUUUGUUUAAUCUUGGUUUCAAGAAUUUCAAGAACCAAACCACUACUUCAAGAUAGAUGUCAAGAAUUCCAACCGUGCUUGGCGAACUCGUAUUCCAAUAACAAGAUCUAGACACGUGACUUCAAUAUUUGAUUGCGCGUAACCCUAAACCCCCUUAGAAUUUCUUAGAUGAGAACUAAGACUAAUUCUUAACCCUAAAAAAAAGAUUAAAGGAACUUAUGGUUUUGGUAGAAUGGCGCUACGAAUAAGUGUGAUUCUUGUUUGAUAAGCCAAGAAGAACACUUAGAACCAAUCUAAGAUAUUUAAAGGUUAACCGACGCUAAGAGAAUUACUCUUAAAACUGAAAUUUCUUUAUUGAUGAUUGAAUGAAUAAAACUUGACCAAGCCUUCUUUUUAUAGGUUUCAUAAACAGAAAUCCUAAGUAGCAAUGGAAAACAAUAUUAACUCCAACUAAUUCUAAACCUAACUUACUAAGGAAACUGUCAACCGAAUUUGGAAAGUGCUCUAACGCCCCAAAUGGACAAGGGCUAGUCAGCUAAGGCCCACAUGGGCUGUCCAACCUUAUUCUCAAGCCUACACUAGACACUUUACUCGAUGAUGAAGCCCAUCAUGCAGUCCACCCUCUCUCUAGUCAUCCGUGGCUUCCUCAUGGACUUGGAGUAGGCUCACCAUUGUGUGAUUAGACUCUUGAAUCCUCCCUAUGCGUGUAUGAACGAUUUGUAGAAAUGUUUGGAGGUUUUCUCGCAUCUUCUUUACCCUUGCUCGAGUCAUCGGUCUAGGGUUCAUUGAUGGGUGCAUUUAGCGCCUCACUCGAGCCAUUUGAAUCAGCACCUUGGAGCCUUGGUGGUCCCUCGUAUCAUUAUUGCAUAUGAAAUGGGGCAACAUAUAUAUUUGGUGAACCAUAUCCAGUCUCACAAAUUAAUCUUGAGUACAAUAAAUAUGCUGUGCUCCAAGAAUUAGACUAGAGAUGGAUCUUCUGUGGUGUAACCGGGCAAUGACCGACCAACCAGUAGGCUAUGUAUAUUGUUGUUGGAGUAGUUAGAUUCACAUUUGAGCUUUCACAUGCGAUGUUUCCCUCAAAACAUUAACUAAUCCAGCUACCUAUCUCGGAUUCACAUUUAAUGUCACAAUUUAUUGUUCUUAAAUAUUUUUCUUUAUUGUGAAUAUAGGCAAUGUCACAGUCUUACCUCUGGACAACACACACAGUCCCGUGACUUUUUACUAAUUGAUAUUUAGGACCACAAUUCAAUGUUAUCAUGAUUUUUCAAUAACUAUUAAAUGAGAUUUUUUAUGAAUUUUUUGCUGUCUUUUUUAAUUUUCUAUUAUAUAUUACUUUUUUGAAACUGUUGUAUUUAUUUUUUACUCAAUUAAUAGUUAUUGAAGUUGCUGUAUUUAUUUUAUAAUAUUUUAAGUUUGUUAAAUUUUGUAUAUUACUCAAUUAAUAGUUAUUGGAUCUUUAAAAAAUAAAAAAGAACUAAAAUAUAAUGUUUAUGUAGGAGAAAUAGCAAUAUAAUAAAAAGUGGGACAGGGAGUGGCACAGGGUGUGGGACAGAAGAUCCGUUGCGCCCCUCGCAACGGAUCUUCUGUCCCACACCCUGUGCCACUCUCUGUCCCACUUUUUAUUAUAUUGCUAUUUCUCAUUCAUAAACAUCAUGUUUUAGUUCUUUUUUGCUUCCUUAUGAUUCAAUAACUAUUAAUUGAGUAAUACACAAAAUUUAACAAACUCAAAAAAUCAAAUUUUUUUAACUAGCCUCUGCAUGGGUCGGUCCUUUUUUUUUUUCCUCGCAACGAUAUAACAUAUUCUAUUCUAAUUUAGGGGGAGGAGGAGUCUAAGGAGGCUUGUGUCAAGGGCCAGUAGAUAUACAAAUCCAACUAGACCAAAAAAGUGUUAUGACACAACCCUUAGAACUUUUUUUUUUUUUACAGAUAAAAUUUGAAUCCUCACCUACAACCCAAGAAAAGAUUUAAAUCCCUUCCUGAUGGCCACUGAGCUAGACUCAGUGGUUAAUUGGCCAGGUCACUUGCGUUCUUUUAUACAAGGUUUAAUCGAUGUUUGCGUGAAAUUUUGUAACAGACCAUAUACGAUUCUUAUCUAAGGCCGUGAAGUAAGAACAAUUGCACCCAAAAAAGUGAUGUAAGAGUGAUCCAUGAAAAUUUCAUUUUACCAUAAAGAAAGAUCAGCAAUGCUGCCAAAGAUUGAAAAAUCUGGGUGCACAGUAUCGUAUUAGAGUGUAAGUUAAAAUUAGCAUCUGUACUCCUUACCCUUGUCUAGGCAUAUUAGAGUGUAAGUUAAAAUUUGAUAUUAGUAUUCUAUUAUGUCCAAAACACCUUUCUCUCUAAUUAUUAAUUAUUAGAUUUAUUGUAUUCUAAUAGUAGUCAAUAAUUGUAGCAGUUAGAAUUAGAAUCAUGAUAAAUAAAAUAAAACGAUCCAACCUGUCAUGUCUUUUUGCAUUCCAUCUUCCAUUUUUAUUUCAAUCUAGAAUUUUUAUUAAUCACAAUCUAAUUCAAUUUCUAAACCGUCAAAAUUAUUGCUAUUGAUACCAAAUCAAAAUGCUUUUUUUCCAAUGGAGUCGUUGUCAUUAGUGCUUUACAUUAGGUCUGCUUAAAAUAAUAAAAAAUAAAAUAACAUAAAAUAACAUAAAAAAGUAAAAAAAAAACUCAAUUAUCUCUACCAAUGAAAUUUUAGUUAUAAAAAAUGAAUAGUUGGAUAGGAAAAAAAUAUUUAUAGGCGGUGGAUCAUCAACACUCUAGUGUUAAAUGAAAUAACACACAAAAGAAUAUAAAGAAUCCAAUUUCAAAGAAUAUACAUUUCUUCACCCAUAAAAUGAUCUCCACCUCUACUUUUAUCCAUCAUGUGCUCCAAUCUAUUCUAGAUGAAUUACAGUAAUGUGAAUUAUAACAAAAAACAGAGAACAAAAAUUAAUGCCUACAUUAAAAAUUAGUAGUAUUUUAAUUGAAACAGCACUAAUGAUCAUUAACAUCUAACUAAAACAGCAAUAUCAAUCAUUUCACCUAUCAUUAAUACCAAAAAAAACUGAAAAAAUAACUAAAAUGGAAGAUAAAAUCAGCACAUGAGACGUGCGAGAACAGUGAACUAAAAAAAAGAAAAAUUUUGCUUAAAUAACAUCAAAGAGAACAUUCACAUCAGUGAAAAAGCAUACAUAAAGACAAUAAUAUAAUACUUGGAAACCAUAAAAAAAGAAAUUACAUCUUAGAUAUUCAGCAUUUUAGAAAUCUUAUAUUUCAAAAAAUAUAUACAUGCGGUGAUAAUAAGUACGUCUUAGAGUUUACCAAAACAUUUUGCCGAAUUUCCCAAAAUUAACUACCGAGUCGUAUGUUAUUGUAUUGAGUAAAAUCCUGUUGGGACUGACAAAAGUUGGUGCGCAAACUUACUUCCCUAACAUUUGAGCACUAUUUUUCCCCCACAAGAACGAGUAGCGUAUUAAGGUUUUCUCCUAGUCUCGUUUUAUCUCAUUUUUAUUUAUCUCUAUAGUUACUACAAAACUACGGACAAUCCGAAUUCAGGAAGCCAGAUUGGCCUUGUUUGGACUUCACAUGCUAUGCUUAAUUGCUAUUAAUUAGAUGAUGAUAUCUUUGUCAUUUGAUCAAACAGAUCCUUUACUGUAGGACGAAUACAUUUCUUUUAUGUCACCCUCUGACAUUUAAUCCACAAUUAGAAGUUUUGUUUCUUUCCACAAUUAGUGUUCUUGAUAAACUGUCAUUGAUUUAAAAUUUUUUUACAAUUUUGGGGCAUGUCAAGCUCAAAUAAGAGGAUCCUUGUGCACAUUGGAAUAGGAUCAUUUUCAUUUCUUUCCUUUCAGUGUAUAAUUCUUCAAACAAAUCAAAUCUCUCAGAUCAUUCGUUUCAGCUCGAACGGAUUGAAAGCUUUCAAGGGCGGCUGGGAGGAUUUGCUGUAAAUGCCAUUCCUCCAUGUACGUCCUUAUGCGGUAAAUGACUAUGACAUCGAUGAUAGCCCUCAACACACAUGACAGAGUCAGUCCAAGGACGAGGCUUCAUGGUUCAUUAUCAACAGUUAUGUAUCCGAAAAUUUACGUUCUCCUCCUCCAUAAUCUGUACAAGGUUCCCAGAAAGGGGGGGUGGGAAAAGGUAAUGAAUUUAGAUCCCAUGCAGAAACUGUUGGGGAAAUCGGGUAAUUUCCCACUCAAAAAUACAACUAAUGAUUAAACCGAUUCAGUAAUUCUCAGGAAAGAUCGUCGAAACAAUCUCCUUAGACAGAAUUACCAUUCCAAGUAAAUUCCCAGGAAAGGCUGGAGGGGUCACAAGCGGUCCCACUUAAAACCCAGUCUCCUAGACAGAACUUACGUGCACGGUGUAUUAUCACAACUAUACCCGUGUAUACAUAAAUAAUACGUAAACACGAAUAAGAAAAUACACCCAAAAGAAUCGUAUAAUACACUACAAAUAAACCCGACAAAUAUAUUGAAUACUAUACUAUAAUUGAAAAGAAACUGUUAAAUAAAUGCGGAACAAAAUAAAAGAGAUAAGGAAAGAACGCACCCGAAAAUUGAUAACGGAGUUCGGCCAAUUUUGCCUACUCUCCGAGCACCACUCAAGCAGCCCGCUUUUAUAAAUUUUGGGAGAAGAAAGACUUACAAAAGAAUUACAAAAUCCUUUUUGGUGUAAUUCUUUUGUUUUCUUUUUCUUUUUGGUGCAUCUCAAUUGGGAAGCUUGAGAGCUAAUUUAUAGCUCUCAAGCAACCUCUCAAAUGCUAAGUUAUCCGAUGUGGGAUUUGUAAAUUUUGCCAAAAAUCAACAAUAUUGGCUUGAGAUAGUCAAUAAUGUUGGCUUUGAAUUCAAAUGUUGCCUUUGAAUUCAACAAAUCUCCACCUUGGCAUAAUUUCUAGUCCCACCAAAAAAUACAAACCUUCUCACCCAAACGGUCCUUGCGAUGCUUCCAAAUUUGCGCCGUUAGGCGCCAACUCAAAUAUGCAGGAUAUUGACCAAGUCUAAACAAUGUUCAAACUUGGACCUUGUAACCACCUUGGUCAGCAUAUCUGCAGGAUUCUCCGUAGUCCGAAUCUUCUGAAGAAAAAUCUCCUCUUCUUCGAGAAUUUCCCGCACAAAGUGAUAGCGAACAUCAAUGUGCUUCGUUCUUGCGUGCAAGACUUGGUUCUUUGCUAAGUGAAUAGCACUCUGACUGUCACAAAACACAUCAAUGUGUUUUUGACCAACUCCCAAGUUUUCAAGCAAUCCUUGAAGCCAAAUUGCCUCCUUCACAGCUUCUGUAAUCGCCAUGUACUCUGCCUCCGUUGUUGACAAAGCCACCGUUGACUGCAAAGUAAACUUCCAACUGACUGGCGCCUUGGCAAAUGUGAACAAGUAGCCAGUUGUAGAACGUCGCUUAUCCAAAUCACCUGCAUAGUCAGAAUCACAAUAUCCAACUAUACAUUGACCAAGUGAUUUAUCCUGCUCAAAUACUAAUCCAACAUCUACGGUAUUUUGGAUAUACCGUAGAAUCCAUUUCACAGCUUGCCAAUGACCCUUGCCUGGAUCAUGCAUAAACCUGCUUACCACACUAACUGCCUGUGAAAUGUCGGGUCUCGUACAUACCAUUGCAUACAUCAAGCUACCAACUGCAUUAGCAUACGGGACUUUCGCCAUGUAUGCUCGCUCUUCAUCCGUCUUUGGAGAUAAUAGGCUACUAAGUUUCAAAUGAGGAGCAAGCGGAGUACUUACAGGUUUUGAAUCUUCAUUCAUGCCAAAACGUUGUAGUACCUUCUUCAAAUACUGCUUCUGUGUCAGACAAAGCUUGCCUCUCGUUUUAUCCCUACUUAUCUCCAUGCCGAGAAUCUUCUUGGCUUCUCCCAAAUCUUUCAUCUCGAACUCUUUACUCAACUGAACCUUCAAUUUGUCAAUUUCAACUUGGCUCUUUGAUGCUAUCAGCAUAUCAUCAACGUACAAGAGUAAGUAGAUGUAGGAAUCAUCUUGUAGCUUGCCCAAAUACACACAGUGAUCAUAUUUGCUUUUUGUGUACUUCUGACCCAUCAUGAACUGGUCAAAUCGUUUGUACCAUUGCCUCGGUGAUUGUUUCAAUCCGUACAACGAUUUGCUCAGUUUACAAACCCAAUUUUCUUUACCAGCAACUUUGAAUCCAUCUGGUUGAGACAUAUAGAUUUCCUCCUUCAAGUCACCGUGAAGGAAUGCGGUCUUCACAUCAAGUUGAGCUAGCUCCAAAUUCAACUGCACUACCAAGGCCAACAAAAUUCUAAUCGAGGAAUAUUUAACAACUGGAGAAAAUACCUCAUUAUAAUCAACUCCCUCCUUCUGAGCGUAGCCUUUAGCCACCAAUCUUGCCUUGUAGCGAACAUCAAUCUUGUCAGGAAAUCCUUCUUUCUUUGCGAAUAUUCAUUUGCAUCCAAUUACCUUCUUGCCCUUCGAUAGUUGUGUCAACUUCCACGUCUUGUUCUUCUGAAGAGAUUGCAUCUCUUCUUCCAUAGCAUCUUUCCAUCUAUCAUUUUCUGUAUUUUGAACUGCUUCAGAAAAUGUGGAUGGAACAUCAUCAAUAACUGGAAGUGCAUAAGCCACCAUGUCAACAAAACGAGCAGGUUUAUGAAUUUCUCGUCUUGCCCUAUUGACGGCAAUUGACUCUUGCUGCUGUUGAGGUUCUUGGGUUGAAACCUCUUCCUCAUCUGACUCCUCUUCUGUCAUGGGAGAGUCACUGAUGGUGCUGUUUGCUAGACUCACCACUAUUUGCUCAAACUCCACCUGUUUCGGCGUACACUCCACCUGUUGCGGAGUACCACUGGUUCCAUCUUGUGUUACCUUAUUCAACAUGGCAGAUUCAUCAAAGGUAACAUCCCUGCUGAUAAUGGUUUUCUUUGCUUCUAGACACCACAACCGGUAUCCCUUAACUCCAGCACUAAAGCCCAUAAAGAGAGCCUUCUUUGCACGUGGAUCCAAUUUUGAUUCAUUUACAUGAUAAUAUGCAGUAGAACCAAAAAUACGCAAAGAAUCAUAAUCUAUUGCAAGUUUUCCAGACCAUACCUCUAAUGGAGUCUUGCCACCGAUUGCAGUUGAUGGCAAGCGAUUGACGAGAUGUUGAGUGUAUGUCACAGCCUUAGCCCAAAACUUUCUGCCUAACCCAGCAUUAGACAGCAUGCAACGUACUUUCUCUACUAGUGUCUUGUUCAUACGUUCUGACACCCCAUUCUGCUGCGGUGUUUUUCUAACUGUGAAGUGCCGAACUAUGCCACAUUCUUGGCAUAUCUUCUGGAAGGGAUCACUCUUGUAUUCUCCACCGUUGUCUGUUCGGAGAAUCUUGAUCUUUCUUCCCAUCUGGUUUUCAACCUGAGCUUUCCAUUUAAGGAAAAUCUCUAGCACCUCAUCCUUGCUUUUCAUAGUAAACACCCAAACUCUUCUGGAAAAAUCAUCAAUAAAAGUGACAAAAUAAUACCUGCCACCAAGGGAUGGAGUCUUGGCAGGUCCCCACACAUCUGAGUGCACAUAAUCUAAAAUACCCUCGGUAUUAUGGAUACCAGUGCCAAAUUUCACUUUUCUUUGUUUUUCCAGCACACAAUACUCACAAAAUUCUAAUUUGCAAACUUUCGUACCUUUCAAUAAUCCUUGUUUGGCAAGAUUUUGCAAGGAUUUUUCACCAGCAUGUCCCAAUCGCAUGUGCCACAACUUUGUUGCCUCUGCAUCUUUCUUGCUACUGGAAGAUGUUGCUGCUGCUGCUGUCCCAACAACUGUACUACCUUGGUAGUAAUACAGGUUAUUCUUCCUCACACCUUUCAACAUCACAAGUGCUCUCGAAGUUACUUUAAGAAUUCCAUCUCGCAUCUUCACUUCCAGGCCUUUUGACUCCAAGAGUCCCAAGGAGAUGAGAUUCCUUUUCAAAUUCGGCACGAAUCGAACAUCCUUCAAGAUUCUGGUAGAUCCAUCAUGAUUACGCAGCUUGAUUGAUCAUAUCCCAACUGUUUUACAUGGAUUGUCAUUUCCCAUGUACACAACUCCACCAUCAAAUUCUUCAAAUUCAAAGAACCAUUCCCGUAUGGGAGACAUAUGGUAGGUACAAGUUGAAUCCAAAAUCCACUCAUCUGGAUGGGAUGUUAAAGGUGAUACAGCCAAAGAGAAAUCUGAUUCCGCAUCACUUUUGCAUUCUGCAACAUUUACGUAUUGCGGAGCUUUCCCUCUCUUCUUUAACUUUGGACAGUCUUUCUUCCAGUGCUCUUUCUCACGACAGAAAGCACACUCAUCUUUGGCAACUCUGCUUUUCGAUUUGGACCUUCCUCUUCUCCCCUUUGAUUGGCUUUGUUGACGACCUCUUGCCACUAACGCUUCAUCUGCUGCAACUACUUUCUUUUUCAUUUUAUCCUGCUUUCUCAAUUCACGACUAUACAAAGCAGAACAUACAGCAUCUAAAGACACAUUUUCCUUCCCAUGAAGUAACGUAGUUUCCAAAUGUUCAAAUUCAUCAGGAAGGGAUGAUAACAACAUCAAAGCCAAAUCUUCAUCUUCAAAAUUUACAUCUAAAUUAAACAGGUCUGCUACUAAUUGAUUAAACAUAGUGAUGUGUUCAUUCAUAGUAGUACCUGGUUGGUAAUCGAAUCGGAACAAUCUUUUCUUCAUUAGGAGUUUAUUCUGACCACUUUUCUUCAGAAAUUUCUCCUCCAAUACCCUCCACAAUUUCCAUGCAGAAGUCUUGUUCUUGAAAGCAUAUUUUUACUCUUUGGACAAACACGAUCGAAUAGUUCCGCAUGCCAACCGAUUUAUGGUACUCCACUCCUUCUCUUCUAUGUCAUCUGGUUUCUUUUCUUCAAUGGCAAUGUCAAGACCCUGUUGGAAAAGGGAGUCCAUGACUUCGCCUUGCCACAUGCCGAAAUGGCCAGUACCGUCAAAUGUGUCCACCGCCACCUUCAAACUUGACAUUGGAAUUCUCGACCAUGUGGACGAGGAAGCCGACGCCCCAGAUAUAAUUCUUGACGUGGAAUUGUCAGAUGCCAUUACAGACUCAAAUGAUAGUAUUCAAUAUAACAAAUUACAAACAAGCCAAAGGACGAACCUUCGGCUCUGAUACCACUUGUUGGGGAAACCGGGUAAUUUCCCACUCAAAAAUACAACUAGUGAUUAAACCGAUUCAGUAAUUCUCAGGAAAGAUCGUCGAAACAAUCUCCUUAGACAGAAUUACCAUUCCAAAUAAAUUCCCAGGUAAGGCUGGAGGGGUCACAAGCGGUCCCACUUAAAACCCAGUCUCCUAGACAGAACUUACGUGCACGGUGUAUUAUCACAACUAUACCCGUGUGUACAUAAAUAAUACGUAAACACGAAUAAGAAAAUACACCCAAAAGAAUCGUAUAAUACACUACAAAUAAACCCGACAAAUAUAUUGAAUACUAUACUAUAAUUGAAAAGAAACUGUUAAAUAAAUGCGGAACAAAAUAAAAGAGAUAACGAAAGAACGCACCCGAAAAUUGAUAACGGAGUUCGGCCAAUUUUGCCUACUCUCCGAGCACCACUCAAGCAGUCCGCUUUUAUAAAUUUUGGGAGAAGAAAGACUUACAAAAGAAUUACAAAAUCCUUUUUGGUGUAAUUCUUUUUUUUUCUUUUUCUUUUUGGUACAUCUCAAUUGGGAAGCUUGAGAGCUAAUUUAUAGCUCUCAAGCAACCUCUCAAAUGCUAAGUUACCCGAUGUGGGAUUUGUAAAUUUUGCCAAAAAUCAACAAUAUUGGCUUGAGAUAGUCAAUAAUAUUGGCUUUGAAUUCAAAUGUUGCCUUUGAAUUCAACAGAAACAUACAUAAAACCGUGAAACCCUUCAAGUUCAAAGGUGCUGUAAUUAUAUAUAUUGACCCCCAAAUAAUUGAAAAUUCGUAUUGUUACCAUCACAAUAAUUCCCUUUGCCCUGCAAUCCAGGUUAAAGUUCCAUGCCAAGUCUCCUUCAAUCUUUCUCAUGGCAAAGUCUUUGUGGAAAAAGAUGGUGCAUGUGGAACACGCUUCCACGUUAUUCACGGGCAGCCAUGUUGGUGGUCAGAAAUUCGCAAUCUGCUAUUGUUUAUCGAUUUCUACAAAGAAAUGAAUAGAAAUCUGAUAAAUCAAGCCAAAUUUAGCAUCGGCAUUUCUUUUCUCCUAAGCAAAUGCCAUUUAUGCAGUUUUUCCUACCUUACAAAUGUGGGCAUAGAUGUCUCAGAUUAUCCUGACACUUCAGUUUUCCCUCGUUCUAGAAGUAUAUUCACAGUCUGAGCAUGCUUUGUUUUUUAUUUUAUUUUAUUUUUCCUGCAAUGUCAAUUAUUUCACUUUUCGCUAGCAUUAGUUUAGGAUUUGAGAAUCGAUUCAAAUCAGUUACAGUACCAGGCAUUUUUUUCCUGCUUUAGGAAGUGCGGAACGCGGGAACAGUUUAUGGAGCCAGCAUAGGAAUCAGACCAGCAGAAAAUCCAUGAUAAAGAGGAAGUGAAGAUGACUUAAUGGUUAAGGCAAAAUGGGACAGACAUAUACAAAACUCAGCGUCUAAGCGAUCAAUUGAUUUCAAUCCUUCGCGAAGGCUGCAAUUUUGCUCAGGUAUUUGAGUGCGCUGUCAAGAAAUACGAGAGAAAUGGGUGUCUUACUAAAGAGACGUAAACCUGAUAUGGCCUCAAUUCAGUCCAUGGAACCUGGAUUGUCUGAUGCUGUGAUUUUGACCUCCUGCUGCUGAAAUAAUUCACAUUGCAAAGACUAUUGCACAAGGAAAAAAAAAAAAAAUACUGUGACUCAAAUAAUCCACUUGAAUUUUGCUCUUCUUAUCUCAAUUACAAGUGCUCAAUGUAAUUGCAUAGACAAAAGGCAGUGACAACUGACAAGUUCCUGGGCAGUCGCUUUAAAGGGAAAAAAACAAAAAAUGUAAGAAGAACACGUAUAAAUAUGUACAAACUGUUGGAGAAUUGAAUAUCCAUAUGUCAGAGUCAGACAGACCAGCGUUGUCUCCUCCGUGUCAAUUAUUAGCAACUGCCAAUAAUAAUUAUAAUGUCGCGCAAGAUUCUGCUCCGUAAUGACUAUGAAUUUGGACAUUUAUUAGGAAGACAAAUCUGGCCGGCUUUUCUUUCCAAUUUUUCAGAAGACAAAUCUGGCUUUUCUUUUACCUAAAUGUCCCUCACUUAACGUAUCCACAUCAAACUAAAACACCCCCCCUCUGGACGUCGAAAUCCCACGCCCACCAACCAACCAGUGCCAGAAAUUAUUAUUAUUUGUUUCGUUGUAUAAAUGAUUUUAUGAUUCCAGCUUUGCCCACGCGUCAUUGUUGGACGUAAAACUCCUCCAUCUUUCUUCUUCAGCAUUUAUCAAGUGGAUGCUUGGCUUCUUGUACACAAUUGAAUCCGAGUCUACAAAACCAACUGCUCUGGGGAUCAAAUACGACGGACUCUGGCAAUCUUCAUCUCCAUCUCCAUGCAUCGAAGAUUCCCCCGAAACAUUGUUGUAGGCCCUAAAUGACCCACUUCGACGACCAUGUGAUUCACUGAAUUAUAUGAUUAAGUUUGACAACUAUACCUUUGUCUUCUUCGCUUCCAACAGUCCAAAAGAACUAAAAGUAUGUACAUUAAAUACAGAAGUUCUUCUUUUGAACAAGUUCCUGAUGCAUGGAAAAACGAAGCUUGUAUUCUUUGACAAAAGGAUCGGUGCCUAAACAAAUAAAAUUGUUCUUUGCCAAGUUCAAACACACAUACUUUAUCAUAUGCAUUUUCUGCUGAUUGCUUCAUCUAUUAUAAUUUAUAGCAUACAUAAUUGAUGAGUAAUGGAGAGGAAAACAAAAGCAGUGUGAGCCUCCAUAGCAAUGAAGCCGAAAAACUAUGCAUGCUAGCGAGGCUUUUACUAGAGCGUAGUAUGUGGAUAAAAUCUGGGAUUUAUGCUUUUGUUUCUCAAUAUCUUAAAUUCAUAAACCUCUUUUGCUCAAAAUAAAUAAAUAAAUGAAUUCAUAAUUAAAUUCAAACAACAAACAAGAUUUUUUGCUGUAUUUUUGAGUUUGAUGGACCCAAACCAUCAUCACAGGAAAAUCUUCAAGAAAUUACUCGACAACAAAAACCCACGAGAAAAUCUUCAGGAAAUUGAUUAAGAGACAAAGGGGAAAAAAAAAAAACCUUUUAUUUCUCACGAUGAAGAUGAAGGCUGCGGCUUUUCUACUCUCAUGAAUCUUAGGCCAUUGCACACUUUAGACGAAACAGAGGGACUCUCAUGGUUGUCCCAUGCGGCUUACUUGUCACAUACAACUACCGUACUGCCUGACAACUAUUGUACUGACUACUACGUACAAGGGACUGUAUCUCAUGUUGUCAUCAUACAAACUGAAUAAUAACUUACACUACGAAUGACACCUGGCUCUCUACUAACUUAACAUAUACUAAUACUAAAGCAUAAAAGCGUAAUAAGGCUUGAUUUAAUAAUUUCUUUACAGAGUUUCAAACUAAAGUUUGAUGUUGUUCUUUUAAUAAGUAAUAAUCUUGUGUUUGAGUAUAAAUAGUAUUAAUCUUGUAGUUGGAUAUUAGAGCUGAGGUUUGUUCUAUAGAAAGGUGUGUAGUAAAUUUAAGGAGUUUUGAGAAAUAAAAAAAAAAAAGAAGAAGAAAUUGAUAAGAAAAGGCAUAGGUAAAGUCCUGCCGGCUGAGGAGAUGAUAUCUUCUCUGCUUACACAUGCAAUCUACCUAGAUACACUUAAAAAAUAGAUUAAAAAGGUUAAAAUAUUUUAUGUACAAUUAAAAAGAUGUACGAAUUGUCUGACCUAUGGCCGCCGAGCAUUAUAGUACGAACUACAAACUGCAUGAGAAAUGUGCAGUACAAAUUGUCUAUUUUCUUAUAAGUUUUCCGUCUGUAUAGUAUCGUAGUACAACCAAGUAGUACAGACAAUUGAAAGCUAAACUGCUAAAGGCCCCAACGAUCAACAAGCCUACUUAUAGUUAUAGGGGUAUGCCAAGUUUAUACUGAUUAGUACUAAUUCGGAUGUGGGCUCUCAGGAAAGAAUAAUUAUCCUUUCGAAAGGCGAAAGAUGAGAAUGAUUCAUUUGAAGAUUAUCAAAGUGUGUUGGUGACUUUCGUGCGGAAACUGGAGAGUGGUUUUGUAACCAUUGGUGCUAUUGAAACUCACCUUGCUCCCAAAUUCGGGUUUUUGGUGUUUUUUUUUUUCGAAUUUUCUGUCGAGGUUCAAAAUUUCUUGCAACUUUCUUUCCAUUUCCAAUAUGCCGUAAAUUGUAACAGCAGAUGGUUUUCUAUUUCAGUAUGAGACUGUGUAUUAUGGUCACAGCACCUCUCUUUGGACCAAAAUCACCAACACGCUUUCGUGAUCAUCAGCCCUACUCAAAUUCUCUCAACUCCUCAUCCAUUCUGAAGCUGGAGGAUGUUUUCUCUGUGCCCAGCACAAGCAGGUAAAAUUUCCGAAUUGCCAUGUGUUAAUUUGUUGCACGAAUAUAGUUUACUUGCUUGGAUCUGUCAUUCGGAAGCAGGAAACAGGGAAUGGAUGAAAGAAUUCAGGGGCGCAACGGAUCUUCUGUCCCACACCCUGUGCCACUCUCUAUCCCACUUUUUAUUAUAUUGCUAUUUCUCCUACAUAAACAUUAUAUUUUAGUUCUUUUUUAUUUUUUAAAGAUCCAAUAAUUAUUAAUUGAGUAAUAUACAAAAUUUAACAAACUUAAAAUAUUAUAAAAUAAAUACAGCAACUUCAAUAACUAUUAAUUGAGUAAAAAAUAAAUACAACAGUUUCAAAAAAGUAAUAUAUAAUAGAAAAUUAAAAAAGACAGCAAAAAAUUCAUAAAAAAUCUCAUUUAAUAGUUAUUGAAAAAUCAUGAUAACAUUGAAUUGUGGUCCUAAAUAUCAAUUAGUAAAAAGUCACGGGACUGUGUGUGUUGUCCAGAGGUAAGACUGUGACAUUGCCUAAAUAUCAAUUAGUAAAAAGUCACGGGACUGUGACCUGGCCAAUUAACCACUGAGUCUAGCUCAGUGGCCAUCAGGAAGGGAUUUAAAUCUUUUCUUGGGUUGUAGGUGAGGAUUCAAAUUUUAUCUGUAAAAAAAAAAAAAAGUUCUAAGGGUUGUGUCAUAACACUUUCUUGGUCUAGUUGGAUUUGUAUAUCUACUGGCCCUUGACACAAGCCUCCUUAGACUCCUCCUCCCCCUAAAUUAGAAUAGAAUAUGUUAUAUCGUUGCGAGGAAAAAAAAAAAAAAAAAGGACCGACCCAUGCAGAGGCUAGUUAAAAAAAUUUGAUUUUUUGAGUUUGUUAAAUUUUGUGUAUUACUCAAUUAAUAGUUAUUGAAUCAUAAGGAAGCAAAAAAGAACUAAAACAUGAUGUUUAUGAAUGAGAAAUAGCAAUAUAAUAAAAAGUGGGACAGAGAGUGGCACAGGGUGUGGGACAGAAGAUCCGUUGCGCUCCAAAUGGCAUACCGAUCAACUGUUGCCCUCCCUCCGCUGCGGGUAGCAGUGAUUAUACACCUUCUGCUCGCGAAGUCUACACAAGAAUGCCGGCUCACACGGUCAGCCAUGACUACGUCAAAAAAUAUUCAUCUGCCAUUGCAAAAUGAAGAACCUUUCUCUGAGCGAUCCUCGUAAUUUUUACCAACUAGCAAACGUCCAUUGCGUGUACUGUGACGAAGGGUACUCUCAAUUGGGCUUUCCAGACAAAAAAUUGGACGUUCAUAACUCAUGGCUAUUUUUUCCGUGGCACAGAUGGUACCUUUAUUUCUUCGAAAGAAUUUGUAUGAUGUUACGUUUACUCUGCCAUUUUGGCACAGAUGUUACGUUUACCCGACCCCUGUUGGUUGCCAUCAAAUCUUCUUCUGUUGUUCUUUAGUGCGACUGCAAUAGAAUGAUACCGUAUGGGUUACGGUCUCAGUAGUCGCUGACAUUGAUAAGAAAAACAAUUGAACUCAAGAAGCAAGUAUGAUAUCAUAAAAUGUGAAUGCAAAAGGCAACAUUAAUUCGCCAUUUUUGUGUUCCACUUUUGCAACUCGAAUGUGAAUGCAAAGCUACGUAUUCCAGUCCAGAUUUACCAUGAACACACAUCAUUGGAAAUGAAAAUUUCAGUUUAUAAGAAAAAGAUAUUUGGUAGGCCAAAAACUUGUUCAAUAAUUGAAACAAACAAGGGGAGCUUAGGAAAUUUCCGGGCCAGAUAUGGGUACAGCACUUUCUUCUCGUCCCUUUGCAUAACAAUUCAAGCUUAGCAAUGAAUUUCUAGUCCCUAUCUUGAUCAAGGAGUCUGUUUGUAAGGUGUGUUUUUUCUGGUGUUUGUAUAAACUUUUACAGUAAUUUAUUGUGAAAGUUGAACAAAUUUUUUUGUAUAAAUAAGAUUUGAAAAAACUGAAAAAUUUUCAUGAUUUUUGCCUUUUGUUCUCCAUUCUUUUUUUCCCCCUUUCCUUCCUCUUUCUUCUUCCUCUCCACUCCUAUUUUGAUCUUCCUCCUCCCUCUCCAUUAUCGCCACCGCUGGUCGCCACCUCUCUCUCUCUCUCUCCCCCCCUCUUCAUCCUUGCCCCAUCCAUAUUGAUUAUAAAGUAUAAAUUCGUUAUUUCAUUUUAAAAUGUGGUGUGGCAGUCAAAUUACUACAAUGGGACCAUCAGCGGCCAUAACUAUCUCUCGUUAAAAUGUAAUUCAAAUAUUAAUAUUUUAAAAUAUAAAAUUAAAUAAGAGAAAUUUAUAAAUGCCAUUAAAUCAAAAAAAUAUCACUAAAGUAUGCAUAAAUUGCCAUUUUUUAAUGUCAUUAGAAAAGAAUUUUCUUCUAGUGUACAAUUAGUAGUGAAAUAAAGAAUCUUAGGGAAAUUAUUUGAAUUGUUUUCAUUUUCUUCACAGAGUUACUGUCCCAAAAUUACUAAAAAUUUUGGAUUGUGAUCUUUUGGACAUAUAUUUUUACAUUUUUUUCCACACAAUUUCCAAUCUCUUUUUUUUUUUUAAUCUUACAUACGUCACAUCCUUUAAAAAAAAUACUAUAAUAAUUUUUUUUCCAAAAAUUCUCCAAAAAAUGCAAUCUAAAUGGGGUCUAAUUAUUUCAAUGAAUCAUACAAUUUCAGGGUACAUCCAGACAAUAUCAAAUUGUGGGAUGAAUUUUACAAUCAUUAUUGAAAUGACACUAAUGGUCACUUUACUUGUGGUCCUUGAAUCUUAACCCAAUUAUGCAAAAUCUACAAUAGACAAUUGAAAAGGUGUCUGUGGGCCAUCAUAUCGCGCCAACUGAUCCACGUAUGUGCAUGCAUUUGUCCAAUCAAUGGAUAUCUUUAGAUAACUUUUUUUUCCAUUAAACCCUCGGCUAGCCCCAGGUGGUUUAGGUAACUUGUUUUAGAAAUUUUUUUUUAAAAAUAUCAAUUACGAAAACACUUUAAAACAAUCACACAAUUUGAAAAAUAUACAAGAAAACAUGAAAUAGGCACUGAUGGUGGGAGUAGGUACUGGUGGUAGGUGGAGUUUGCCGUGGUCUGUGAUGGGUGGUGGCCUGGUGGGGGAGGGGAAAAUAUUAAUUUUGAAUUAAUAUUAAUAUUUUUUAAAAAUAAACAUAGUAAAAUUUUAAAUAAACACUUUCAUUUGGAUUGGUCUACUUUUUAAAAACUAAUUUUUCAAAUACAAUGUUACAGUAAUACAAAAACAAAAACAAUUUAAAAAAAUUUCAUUCAUACAAUAAAUCAAAAACAACUCACAAAUAUACACAAAAAAUUUUAAAAAAUUUUACAAUAUUUUCCACUUAUCACUACCACUCGCCACCGCCACCACUGCCACCACUACCACCCUCUUCCUCCUCUCCUCGACCAGAUCCAGGGGAGGAGGGGAAGAUUGAAGGGUGGGGGGGGGAAAGGGAGGGGAGGAGGAAAAGGAAAGAGAAAGGAGGAGAGAAAGAGUGGUGACGGUUGUGGUUGUAGGUGAUAGUAUUAAUUUUUAAAAAAUAUUUUAAAAAUAUUUUAAAUUUAAAAAGUACUUCAAAUUAUAUUUCAAAAACUCCUCCAAAAAAUCACAAAAAAAAUUUUAUAGUAAAAAUUUUUCAGACACACUACUAUAGUAAAAUAUUUCAAAAAAAUUCCAAAAAAUAACUUAUCCAAACGAACCUAUAAUAUCCAAGCAGACCGUCAUUGAACAAGUUCUGCUUUUUUAUUCGCUGCAUUUAUGCUCAAUUAAAAGAUUGCACUGAAAUAUCAAAACUAUAUUAUCUAUUUUCCUUUUCUUCUCAAAGGUAUUGAAAAAGUUUUUUAACUUAAUACUUUGAACGAAAUAUCAUAUUAUAUCAGAAUAAUCCAAACAAUACAAAAUUGGCUAAUUGAAUUUUUUUAUUAUUACUCAAACCACUAUAAUUACUUUGCUUGUGGUCCUUUAUUCUCCAACAACACAUUAAAAAACAUACGCUCCAUUUGGAUUAACUAUUUUUGAGAGUGUUUUUGAAAUAUUUUAUUAUAGCAUUGUAUAUGAAAAAAUUUUAUUAUAAAUAUUUUUUGAAAUAUUUAAUAUAUUGUAUGAAUGAAAUAUUUUUUGAGUUAUUUUUGUUUGUAUAUUACUAUAAUAUUGUAUUUAAAAAAUUUGUUUUUGAAAAAUAGGUGAAUCCAAAUAAUUGAUAAGAGAAAAAAGGGAUCCUAUGGGCUAUAACACCACACGAACUUAUCCAUGCAUUUGUAGAGUUCUGCUGUCCAGUCUCAGCAUUUAUCCAUUUAUACAUUAUCGAAAGAUUUCUUUCUGCUCUCCACUAUCCACAUUAAUUAGACUAUCAUUCUCGAAUGGGUUUGGACAGGUGCGUUUUAGGUUUCUAUGCAAAUUUUUUUUUUUUUUUUUGUCGCUCCUAGAAUUUAAUCUAAUCUAAUCGAGGGGAGGAGGGGGAGGGGGACUCGAUGUGACUCCAUCGAACAUGACCAAUUAAGAUCGUCAUAAAUUGUAACAAUUUUUGGGUGAGAGGCAAGGAUCGAACCCUUAACCUCCCGCACCACCAAUACUUUUAAAGGCUUCUAUGCAAUUAUUUGAUUGUGUAUAUUUUACACAAUCUGGCAUACACUAAUAUUAUUAAUUUAAUAUAUGAAUAAAACUACAUUGAUAAACAUACACCAACAUCUAAAAAAAAAACAGAAAAAUGAUAUUAACACUUCCAAAAAAGUUUCUAACACUCCAUCCUCCCUUUAAAACAUAUAGAAACGAUGUAUUGCAGGAAGAGCACAAAAAAGGGACGGAAUGGAGGAUAGAAUGCUCGGGACUCUCUUUUUUUUUUUUUUUUUAAGUGCCAAUAAGAUCUCCCAAAAAGUAUCAAACCUCAAUUGUACUUGCUCCAAUUCCCUUCAAAUUGUGUAGAAUGUUAUUGAUCCUAU